GGGGACGUAGCUCAAUUGGGAGAGCACCGCCUUUGCAAGGCGGGGGUUGUGGGUUCGAUCCCCAUCGUCUCCA
rnacentral:tRNA from 1 species